rnacentral:rRNA from 1 species
GACGAACGCUGGCGGCGUGCCUAACACAUGCAAGUUGAGCGACGAACCAGGGCUUGCCCUGGGGCAAAGCAGCGAACGGGUGAGUAACACGUGGGUAACGUGCCCCGAUAACCGGGACAACCCGAGGAAACUCGGGCUAAUACCGGAUGUGCUCGUCGGACAUCAGUCCGGCGCGUAAAGGAAGCUUCGGCCUCCGUAUCGGGAGCGGCCCGCGGCCCAUUAGCUAGUUGGUGAGGUAACGGCUCACCAAGGCCGCGAUGGGUAGCUGGUCUGAGAGGACGAUCAGCCACAUUGGGACUGAGACACGGCCCAGACUCCUACGGGAGGCAGCAGUGGGGAAUCUUGCGCAAUGCGCGAAAGCGUGACGCAGCAACGCCGCGU